rnacentral:lncRNA from 1 species
ACAGGAUUACAUAGAUAGAAUGGAAGGAGCAACUUUGUCUGGCAGACAAGCCUCAGGCUACAUAUGCAAUGCCGGGGAAGAAUUAGUAGCACUGAGGAAGCAGCUUGCUGCCUUUGAAUCUCUAGAACAAAUGGAAGCUCCAACUACCACUAAGCUUGCUGCCUUUGAAUCUCUAGAACAAAUGGAAGCUUCAAAGACUGCUAAUGAUGAACUAAGUCUUGUCUGGUCACAAUCUGUUUGAGGUGUUGCGGCAGGAAUAAGGUUUUUCCACAUCUAAACGCCCUUCACUUUUACAGGAUUACAUAGAUA